CAUCCUCCAAGGCUAAAUACUCCUGACUGACCGAUAGUGAACCAGUACCGUGAGGGAAAGGCGAAAAGAACCCCGGCGAGGGGAGUGAAAAAGAACCUGAAACCGUGUACGUACAAGCAGUGGGAGCACAGGUUUACCUGUGUGACUGCGUACCUUUUGUAUAAUGGGUCAGCGACUUAUAUUCUGUAGCAAGGUUAACCGUAUAGGGGAGCCGUAGGGAAACCGAGUCUUAACCGGGCGUUAAGUUGCAGGGUAUAGACCCGAAACCCGGUGAUCUAGCCAUGGGCAGGUUGAAGGUUGGGUAACACUAACUGGAGGACCGAACCGACUAAUGUUGAAAAAUUAGCGGAUGACCUGUGGCUGGGGGUGAAAGGCCAAUCAAACCGGGAGAUAGCUGGUUCUCCCCGAAAGCUAUUUAGGUAGCGCCUCGUGAAUUCAUCUCCGGGGGUAGAGCACUGUUUCGGCUAGGGGGCCAUCCCGGCUUACCAACCCGAUGCAAACUGCGAAUACCGGAGAAUGUUAUCACGGGAGACACACGGCGGGUGCUAACGUCCGUCGUGAAGAGGGAAACAACCCAGACCGCCAGCUAAGGUCCCAAAGUCAUGGUUAAGUGGGAAACGAUGUGGGAAGGCCCAGACAGCCAGGAUGUUGGCUUAGAAGCAGCCAUCAUUUAAAGAAAGCGUAAUAGCUCACUGGUCGAGUCGGCCUGCGCGGAAGAUGUAACGGGGCUAAACCAUGCACCGAAGCUGCGGCAGCGAACGUAUCACCCAAGACAACUUUACGGAGUUGACGAUUGACGGAGCGAAGCGACGUCAAAGCGUUCAUUAAAGUCGAGUUGGCUUAGGGAUACGUUCGUUGGGUAGGGGAGCGUUCUGUAAGCCUGUGAAGGUGUGUCGUGAGGCAUGCUGGAGGUAUCAGAAGUGCGAAUGCUGACAUAAGUAACGAUAAAGCGGGUGAAAAGCCCGCUCGCCGGAAGACCAAGGGUUCCUGUCCAACGUUAAUCGGGGCAGGGUGAGUCGACCCCUAAGGC
rnacentral:rRNA from 2 species